CGUGAGCUGGGUUUAGACCGUCGUG
rnacentral:ncRNA from 8 species